CACCUCAGGAUCGCACCUGGAGAGUUUCCAGUACUCUCCCAGUCUGGGCUACAGGAGGGAGAGUCAAGCAGACGCCCAUUCCAUUCCUAACUUGGGCCGUGGCUAGCAAAUGGAAGGCAAUCUGCUACAAGU